UUCAACAAUGAGUUAAACAAGAUAAUAAAUAAAUGACUAACCGAUUUUUGGCUUAAUUGGUAACUUGUAAUUAUUCUCAAAAUUUUCUAGAUUACACAAAAUACUAUAUUACUGAUUAUUAAGCUUUAAUUCCAUAACAUGGAAUGAGGUGAGGGAUUUUUACCUGAAUCAGUGUUUGAAACAUCAAACUUUCAGCUACGCCUACUGAUAGUCCUCAGGUUUCCUGAAUUUUUCUGUAGAGAUUAAAACAUACUUCAUGUACCUAAAAAUACUCUAAAAAAAUCCAAAAUCGGUGUUAAAAACCUUUUUUGGCCAAUUUCAGAAUUCCGGCAUAGUGGCAUCGCCGUGCUCCGGCGACGGCGCCGCCACCCCCUGCGGUGGUUUACCUUGGCUUGGUCGUUUUCAGCCAGUUUUGGCUGAUUUUGGUCGAUUUUAUACUCAUCCAUGCGAGAAAACACGUUAGAGGGCCUUAAUUGGCCGAAAAAAGUUAAAAAAGUAAAACCUACCAGCGGCAGAAUUUUCUGGUAAGGCGGCUCUGCCGGCUCACCU
rnacentral:lncRNA from 1 species